CGCGUAGGCGGUUUUACAAGUCAGAUGUGAAAGCCCUCGGCUCAACCGGGGACGUGCAUUUGAAACUGUGAGACUUGAGUAUUGGAGGGGGUGGUGGAAUUCCCGGUGUAGAGGUGAAAUUCGUAGAUAUCGGGAGGAAUACCGGUGGCGAAGGCGACCACCUGGCCAAAUACUGACGCUGAGGUGCGAAAGCGUGGGGAGCAAACA
rnacentral:rRNA from 1 species